GACGAACGCUGGCGGCGUGCUUAACACAUGCAAGUCGAACGGAAAGGCCCUGCUUUUGUUGGGUGCUCGAGUGGCGAACGGGUGAGUAACACGUGAGUAUCCUGCCCUUGACUUUGGGAUAACUUCAGGAAACAGGGGCUAAUACCGGAUAUGAGCUCCUGCUGCAUGGUGGUGGUUGGAAAGUUUCGGCGGUUUGGGAUGGACUCGCGGCUUAUGAGCUUGUUGGUGGGGUAGUGGCUUACCAAGGCUUUCACGGGUACCCGGCCUGAGAGGGUGACCGGCCACAUUGGGACUGAGGUACGGCCCAGACUCCUACGGGAGGCAGCAGUGGGGAAUAUUGCAGAAUGGGCGGAAGCCGGAUGCAGCAACGCCGCGUGCGGGAUGACGGCCUUCGGGUUGUAAACCGCUUUCGCCUGUGACGAAGCGUGAGUGACGGUAAUGGGUAAAGAAGCACCGGCUAACUACGUG
rnacentral:rRNA from 1 species